rnacentral:rRNA from 1 species
GGAUCCAGACUUUGAUCAUGGCUCAGGAUGAACGCUAGCUACAGGCUUAACACAUGCAAGUCGAGGGGCAGCAUGACGAUAGCUUGCUAUUGUUGAUGGCGACCGGCGCACGGGUGAGUAACGCGUAUCCAACCUGCCCUUGUCCAUCGGAUAACCCGUCGAAAGGCGGCCUAACACGAUAUGCAGUCCGCAGAAGGCAUCUGACGCGGACGAAAUGUGAAGGAGAAGGAUGGGGAUGCGUCUGAUUAGCUUGUUGGCGGGGUAACGGCCCACCAAGGCGACGAUCAGUAGGGGUUCUGAGAGGAAGAUCCCCCACAUUGGAACUGAGACACGGUCCAAACUCCUACGGGAGGCAGCAGUGAGGAAUAUUGGUCAAUGGGCGAGAGCCUGAACCAGCCAAGUAGCGUGCAGGAUGACGGCCCUAUGGGUUGUAAACUGCUUUUAUGUGGGGAUAAAGUGAGCCACGUGUGGCUUAUUGCAGGUACCGCAUGAAUAAGGACCGGCUAAUUCCGUGCCAGCAGCCGCGGUAAUACGGAAGGUCCGGGCGUUAUCCGGAUUUAUUGGGUUUAAAGGGAGCGUAGGCCGUCUGAUAAGCGUGUUGUGAAAUGUCGGGGCUCAACCUGGGCAUUGCAGCGCGAACUGUCAGACUUGAGUGCGCGGGAAGUAGGCGGAAUUCGUCGUGUAGCGGUGAAAUGCUUAGAUAUGACGAAGAACUCCGAUUGCGAAGGCAGCCUGCUGUAGCGCAACUGACGCUGAAGCUCGAAAGCGUGGGUAUCGAACAGGAUUAGAUACCCUGGUAGUCCACGCGGUAAACGAUGGAUGCUCGCUGUUUGCGUCUGACGUAAGCGGCCAAGCGAAAGCGUUAAGCAUCCCACCUGGGGAGUACGCCGGCAACGGUGCAACUCAAAGGAAUUGACGG